rnacentral:SRP_RNA from 1 species
CGCAGGGUCCCGACCGAGCGCGGGACCCGUGAACCCCGCCAGGUCCGGAAGGAAGCAACGGCAGCGGGGCCCCGGCUGUGGCCGGGGGUGCCCUGCGAUC